rnacentral:misc_RNA from 1 species
CAGUUACUCGGCGGCCCUGCGAGCGUUCAAGUCGUUGCCGUUCUCCGCCGGUUCAGCGAUCUCGAUCUUAUUACCACCGUUUCGCCGCCGUUCGGGCCAAGAAUCUAGCUUGCACCUCGAGUCGCAAAGUCCGUGCAGCCGUCAGUUUAACAACUGCAAGGCGGUUCACUCUUAACCCAGCAACCUCAACAACCACAACAACAGAAACAGCAUCUGCCCCAGCCCCAACCCCGACUCCGACUCCAACCCCUCAGAGGACAGAUCACCAUGAACGGCCCCAAACACAAGCUCUGCACAAAGCUGUCCAGCACCUACCUCCGAAAGUGGUGGAUUACGAUCGUGGUGGCCGCGGCGCUGAUAAUAGGCGGCAUUGUGGUGGCCUGCGAGUUUUCCGUGCUGAUCGAUGCCGUCGUGGACCGCAUGGUGGCCCUGCGUCCCGGCGCCAAGACCUUCGGCUGGUGGGCCAAGCCGCCGGUGGAGCCGCGCAUCAGUCUGUACAUCUACAACGUGACCAAUGCCGACGACUUCCUCAGCAACGGCUCUAAGGCCAUUGUCGACGAGGUGGGCCCCUACGUCUACAGCGAGACCUGGGAAAAGGUUAACAUCGUCUCAAACGACAAUGGCACCCUCAGCUACAAUCUGCGCAAGAUCUACACCUUCCGCGAAGACCUCUCCGUAGGCCCCGAAGACGACGUGGUGAUUGUCCCCAACAUUCCCAUGCUCAGCGCCACCUCCCAGAGCAAGCACGCGGCCAGAUUCCUUCGCUUGGCUAUGGCCAGCAUCAUGGACAUCCUCAAGAUCAAGCCCUUCGUUCAGGUCUCCGUCGGCCAGCUACUCUGGGGCUACGAGGAUCCGCUGCUCAAGCUGGCCAAGGACGUGGUGCCCAAGGAACAGAAGCUGCCGUACGAGGAGUUCGGUCUGCUGUACGGCAAGAACGGAACCUCCUCCGACCGAGUCACCGUGAACACGGGCGUGGACGACAUCGAGAAGUACGGCAUCAUAGACAAGUUUAACGGACGCACGCACCUGCCCCACUGGACCACCGACAACUGCAACCGUCUGGACGGCACUGACGGCUCCAUUUUCCCCCCGCACAUCGACCACGACCGGGUGCUCUACGUCUACGACAAGGACCUGUGCCGCCUGCUGCCGCUGGUCUUCGAGAAGGAGGUGGUCACGUCCAACGAGGUGCCCGGCUACCGCUUCACCCCGCCGGAGUGGGUCUUUGCCGACGUCGACAGCCAUCCGGACAACAUGUGCUUCUGCCCAGCCGGCAAGCCCUCUUGCUCCCCCAACGGGCUCUUCAACGUGUCGCUGUGCCAAUACGAUUCGCCCAUUAUGCUGAGCUUCCCCCACUUCUACCUGGCCGACGACAGCCUCAGGACCCAAGUGGACGGCAUCUCGCCGCCCCAGAAGGAGAAGCAUCAGUUCUUCUUCGACGUGCAGCCUAAAAUGGGAACCACGCUGCGAGUGCGCGCCCGCAUCCAAAUUAAUCUGGCCGUGAGCCAGGUGUUCGACAUCAAGCAGGUGGCCAACUUCCCGGACAUCAUCUUCCCCAUCCUCUGGUUCGAGGAGGGCAUCGAUAGCCUGCCCGACGAGGUCACCGACCUGAUGCGCUUCGCCGAGCAGGUGCCGCCCAAGAUCCGCGUGGGGCUCAUCGUCGGCCUAUGCGCCCUGGGGGUGGUCCUGCUCCUCCUCUCGACGUUCUGCCUCAUCCGCAACUCGCACCGGCAGAGCACCCUGCACCUGGAGGGCUCCAACUACCUGGCCACCGCCCAGGUGGACAUGAACAAGAAGCAGAACAAAGACAACCAGCCCGCCAGAUACUAGAUGCCGCAUCUUCUAGUCGCAGCCUUCGGUGGCAGUCGGGUCCCUGGGUGUCUUAGAUUUAGCUUAUCCUUAGUUGGGAACGAUCCCAUUUCCAUUCCCAAUACCACGGCCAUUCGCCCGGGUCCACCCGGCCCGGGCAAGGAUGCGUCUCUGUAGUCUAGAUAAAAUGGAGCUGGGAGACUUGUUAUUGUUGUAAGUAUCGUUAUGAAAAUUUUUGAUGUGUAGUCUUAUGAAACAGUCGUGAUCGCUUAAGGCUCAAAGCUUCGACUUAGACUCCGAUUGUUAUACCAAAACAGAAGCCGAUCCCAGACCCCCGCUCAAAUUGUAUGUCUAGAUACGAGUCAGUUGUCACAAAACCCGAAACGUUUCUCAAAUAAACUAAAUGAUCCGUCCUCCAUACAAAUGUGCUUCAUUAGGCCGGAAAGGCUGGACGAGCGCCGCGUCGAGAGCUUCCAUCCCAAAAAUACAUAAUUCCGUCGAUCGAAUGUACGAUUUAUAAUCUCUAAUGUGUACAAUAAAGUACGAUAUUAUUUUAAUUAGA